CUUUGGCAGCAAAGCGUGAGGAGUGUUUCAUGUGUUUCCUCCUAACCUUUCUUUUCCCUCCAAGCCACACCUGAUCACCUAAGCCACGCCCCCUACACUAUAAAAGCCUGCACCCAAGCCUUUGUUCUUCCUUUUUCCCUCCAAACCUGCCAUGUGCCAGUGACUCCUUUUGUUGAAAUGUUUGUACCAUGUGGUUUUGAACUAUUACCUGGAGCGGAUGCAUUACUGAUCACAAAUCAUCCACAUCCGAACUCAGUCCUUUGUCUGCACUGAGCUGAUCCUUUCUGUUGAGCAAUAAACCUUUGUAACCUG